GAUGAACGCUGGCGGCGUGCCUAAUACAUGCAAGUCGAGCGAACAGACGAGGAGCUUGCUCCUCUGGCGUUAGCGGCGGACGGGUGAGUAACACGUGGAUAACCUACCUAUAAGUCUGGGAUAACUUCGGGAAACCGGAGCUAAUACCGGAUAAUAUAUUGAACCGCAUGGUUCAAUAGUGAAAGACGGUUUUGCUGUCACUUAUAGAUGGAUCCGCGCCGCAUUAGCUAGUUGGUAAGGUAACGGCUUACCAAGGCAACGAUGCGUAGCCGACCUGAGAGGGUGAUCGGCCACACUGGAACUGAGACACGGUCCAGACUCCUACGGGAGGCAGCAGUAGGGAAUCUUCCGCAAUGGGCGAAAGCCUGACGGAGCAACGCCGCGUGAGUGAUGAAGGUCUUCGGAUCGUAAAACUCUGUUAUUAGGGAAGAACAAAUGUGUAAGUAACUAUGCACGUCUUGACGGUACCUAAUCAGAAAGCCACGGCUAACUACGUG
rnacentral:rRNA from 1 species